rnacentral:tRNA from 1 species
GCUGGCGCAAACGGUUAAUGUGUUUGGCUGCUAACCUAAAAUUUGGUGGUUCACAUCCACCCAGCA